rnacentral:misc_RNA from 1 species
UCCGGGUUGGUCCCGGCGGUCCGGCCAGACGUGGUAACUGGCCGCGGGGGUUGCGCUCGUUGCGGGACUUAACCCGACAUCUCACGACACGAGCUGACGACAGCCAUGCAGCACCUGUGGUGCACCCUCGAAGGUCACACGUUUCCGUGCGCUUGCAGCACCAUGUCAAGCCAGGUAAGGUUCUUCGCGUUGCAUCGAAUUAAUCCGCAUGCUCCGCCGCUUGUGCGGGGCCCCGUCAAUUCCUUUGAGUUUUAGCCUUGCGGCCGUACUCCCCAGGCGGGGCGCUUAAUGCGUUUGCUGCGGCACGGAACUCGUGGAAUGAGCCCCACACCUAGCGCCCAACGUUUACGGCAUGGACUAC